CUAGGUGUUAAAGUAAUUGUUCACAAUGCUGGCUGUACCGUAGGAUCACCUGGGGAACUGCAGAGCACCUGGCUCCCACUGCUGAAGAUUCUGGAUUAAUUUAUCUGGGGCGGAGACUAGGGGUGGGUACGUUUGGAAAGUUUCUCGGGUGAGUCUAGUGUGCGUCAGGGCUCAGCACCACUGCCUAAAAGAUAUGCUGACUUCUAGCUCUGGGCAUGUGAAGAUAAGGCGUUGUCUGUCUCUCUCUGCUGGACGUUCUAUCUAAGCAGCGUGGAUGUUGACAAGGCUCCUGGAAGGACAAGAGAAGAUAACAUCACUAUUGUAAAACCUCAGAUUGGUGCUCAAGAUAGUUUUCAGACCCUGCACUUGAUGGAUCAGCUGGCACUACUCAGAUCAACACACUGGCUCACCUGGUCUUGUGGCCCCCACCCAGGAAAUGACUCAGCACAAGAGGACAGCUUUGACUCCCUGUGAUUUCAUCUCAGACCCAACCAGUCAGCUCUCCCUACUACUUGGCCCCCUACCCACCAAAUUAUCCUUAAAAAACCCCAGCCUCUAAAUUUUGGGGGUGACUGUUUUGAGUAAUAAUAAAACUCUGGUAUCCCAUUGAGCCAGCUCUGCAUGAAUUAGUUAACUGUUUCUCUCUUGCAGUUCCUCUGUCUUGAUAAAUCAGCCUGUCUGGGCAGUGGGCAAAAUGAACCCCCAACAGGAGGAUUUCAAAUGUAAAGAAGACACUUGGGCUGAGAUAUCCGGCUGAUCCGAACUCCAACAUGAAGCAUCCUUUCUGCUUUAGAUUGACCCCCAAAGAGUGAAGGACUAGGAAGCCAAAAGUGUCACACGGUCAAAAAUGCUUCCAUCUACUGGUGAAACUCAGGAAUACACUAACAUUUCCCUGCCUGAAAUGGUUAGUUGAGGACACAAAGCAACCCAAAGCGAGCGGAGCUUGGCCAUGGAGCUCAGAAAUUCAAAAUAGUCAGUUCUUGCUGAUGGUGAAG
rnacentral:lncRNA from 10 species